rnacentral:rRNA from 1 species
GAUGAACGCUGGCGGCGUGCCUAAUACAUGCAAGUCGAGCGAAUGGAUUAAGAGCUUGCUCUUAUGAAGUUAGCGGCGGACGGGUGAGUAACACGUGGGUAACCUGCCCAUAAGACUGGGAUAACUCCGGGAAACCGGGGCUAAUACCGGAUAACAUUUUGAACCGCAUGGUUCGAAAUUGAAAGGCGGCUUCGGCUGUCACUUGUGGAUGGACCCGCGUCGCAUUAGCUAGUUGGUGAGGUAACGGCUCACCAAGGCAACGAUGCGUAGCCGACCUGAGAGGGUGAUCGGCCACACUGGGACUGAGACACGGCCCAGACUCCUACGGGAGGCAGCAGUAGGGAAUCUUCCGCAGUGGAUGAAAGUCUGACGGAGCAACGCCGCGUGAGUGGUGAAGGCUUUCGGGUCGUAAAACUCUGUUGUUAGGGAAGAACAAGUGCUAGUUGAAUAAGCUGGCACCUUGACGGUACCUAACCAGAAAGCCACGGCUAACUACGUGCCAGCCGCCGCAGUAA